rnacentral:rRNA from 1 species
CAGCGCCACGAGUGGCAACCAUGUUUAUUGGGCCUAAAGCGUCCGUAGCCUGAUUGAUAAGUCUUUUGUGAAAUCGUUAAGCUCAACUUAACGGUGUGCAAGAGAUACUGUCAAUCUUGGAACUGGGAGGAGUCAGAGGUAUUCUGGGGGGAGCGGUAAAAUGCUAUAAUCCCUAGAGGACCGCCAGUGGCGAAGGCGUCUGACUAGAACAGAUUCGACGGUGAGGGACGAAAGCUAGGGGAGCAAAACGGAUUAGAUACCCGAGUAGUCC